UUUCUAAGAAACAUGGGUAUUGA
rnacentral:snRNA from 1 species